UACGAAGGGGGCUAGCGUUGCUCGGAAUUACUGGGCGUAAAGCGCGCGUAGGCGGAUCGUUAAGUCGGGGGUGAAAUCCUGGAGCUCAACUCCAGAACUGCCUUUGAUACUGGCGAUCUUGAGUUCGGGAGAGGUGAGUGGAACUGCGAGUGUAGAGGUGAAAUUCGUAGAUAUUCGCAAGAACACCAGUGGCGAAGGCGGCUCACUGGCCCGAUACUGACGCUGAGGCACGGAAAGCGUGGGGAGCAAACAGG
rnacentral:rRNA from 1 species